CAAUAGCGUAUAUUUAAGUUGCUGCAGUUAAAAAGCUCGUAGUUGGAUUUCGGGUGGGAAUGGCCGGUCCACCGUUUCGGUGUGCACUUGCUACGCCCACCUUGCUGCCGGGGACGUGCUCUUGAGUUCACGCUCGGGACACGGAGUCGGCGAGGUUACUUUGAGUAAAUUAGAGUGUUCAAAGCAGGCCUACGCUCUGAAUACAUUAGCAUGGAAUAACACGAUAGGACUCUGGCCUAUCUUGUUGGUCUGUAGGACCGGAGUAAUGAUUAAGAGGGACAGUCGGGGGCAUUCGUAUUUCAUUGUCGGAGGUGAAAUUCUUGGAUUUAUGAAAGACGAACUACUGCGAAAGCAUUUGCCAAGGAUGUUUUCAUUAA
rnacentral:rRNA from 1 species